CCGCGAGCACACACUUUAUCGACCCGAAACCACCGUGGUCCUACACGAGUCGAUAGACACCCUAUUGCUAUCGUCUUCCUGCCACUGCAAAAGGGAUGCUGAGCUCAUUGUCCUGCGCCCAUUGCCUGGGGUGCGGCUUGCUCUGAGCACUGCUGCGGCCGGGGCUGUUUCUGCUACUGAAGGCGCUGUGUGUCCUGAUCACCACUUGCAGGGACAAUCCCCACCUUUCUCUUGCAGAAGGCCCUCACAGCAGCCGCCAGAGGGGAAGUCUGGCCUGAGCACAGGAUGCUUUAGGGAGAUAUCACUUCGGAGUGUGUGUGUGUAUUUAUUUGGAAUACAGAGUGUGUGUGCGCGUGUGUGUGGGCGCAUUUGCUGAGUGGGUUCCCUUCAGUCCUGUUGCUGACGAGGCCUCCUCUCUGGACACAAUGCCUUUACAGAUUAAUUUCUCUGCCAAUUAACUUGUCAUUUCCAAUACAUAUUUUGCUAUUCAACAUCAGCCAUGAUUUCAACAAGGGGUUUUUCUUAUGCACUCCUAUGCAUGUGAAUAACAUGUCGUGUAACUCUGCUUCUUACAGAAGUAUUACGAAGGUAUUAUUUCCAAUAUUAUUUGGUUCAUUACUGAUCUCUUUUGUAUAUGCAGACCCCCUCUCUGUGCCGCCCAGUGCCAUCCAGACAUGGUUUUUCCCUCCAGGCCUUUCUCCAGGGGCCACACUGUUGCCUUUGCUCUCUCCGUCGAGGCCUGGCUCCUGUUGACAGCACAGAUGCCAUCCUUGGGCAGUGGCUUUCUAGCCCAUCACCCCAGACCAAAGCGAAAUGGAAGGUUCUUCACGACCUGGUACUGAAGACACUGCACACGGGUGUGCCCACCGCAGCCCCUAGUUGUGUGAGGUGUCGUGUGAAUCACGGUGGUGUUGUGCUUCUAUUAAUAUUUAACAUAAUUAAAGAUGGACCCAUAUGACUGGUGCUUACAGGGUGCGUGUCCUCCCCGUCUCCAGCACACCGUCUGUUCUUUCCACAGUGUCCUGUGUGGGUGAGCAAGUGGUGGACAAGGUUGGCAUCUCACUGGCCG
rnacentral:lncRNA from 1 species